CCUACGGGAGGCAGCAGUGGGGAAUUUUGGACAAUGGGCGCAAGCCUGAUCCAGCCAUGCCGCGUGUGGGAAGAAGGCCUUCGGGUUGUAAACCACUUUUGUCAGGGAAGAAACGGUCUAACCUAAUACGUUGGACUAAUGACGGUACCUGAAGAAUAAGCACCGGCUAACUACGUGCCAGCAGCCGCGGUAAUACGUAGGGUGCAAGCGUUAAUCGGAAUUACUGGGCGUAAAGCGUGCGCAGGCGGCUUUGCAAGACAGAUGUGAAAUCCCCGGGCUCAACCUGGGAACUGCAUUUGUGACUGCAUGGCUAGAGUACGGUAGAGGGGGAUGGAAUUCCGCGUGUAGCAGUGAAAUGCGUAGAUAUGCGGAGGAACACCGAUGGCGAAGGCAAUCCCCUGGACCUGUACUGACGCUCAUGCACGAAAGCGUGGGGAGCAAACAGGAUUAGAUACCCUGGUAGUCCACGCCCUAAACGAUGUCAACUGGUUGUUGGACGGCUUGCUGUUCAGUAACGAAGCUAACGCGUGAAGUUGACCGCCUGGGGAGUACGGCCGCAAGGUUGAAACUCAAAUGAAUUGACGGCUGAGAGNGCGAGCGACGACGAGGGAGGAGG
rnacentral:rRNA from 1 species